GAUGAACGCUGGCGGCGUGCCUAAUACAUGCAAGUCGAGCGAACAGACGAGGAGCUUGCUCCUCUGACGUUAGCGGCGGACGGGCGAGUAACACGUGGAUAACCUACCUAUAAGACUGGGAUAACUUCGGGAAACCGGAGCUAAUACCGGAUAAUAUAUUGAACCGCAUGGUUCAAUAGUGAAAGACGGUUUUGCUGUCACUUAUAGAUGGAUCCGCGCCGCAUUAGCUAGUUGGUAAGGUAACGGCUUACCAAGGCAACGAUGCGUAGCCGACCUGAGAGGGUGAUCGGCCACACUGGAACUGAGACACGGUCCAGACUCCUACGGGAGGCAGCAGUAGGGAAUCUUCCGCAAUGGGCGAAAGCCUGACGGAGCAACGCCGCGUGAGUGAUGAAGGUCUUCGGAUUUUAAAACUCUGUUAUUAGGGAAGAACAAAUGUGUAAGUAACUAUGCACGUCUUGACGGUACCUAAUCAGAAAGCCACGGCUAACUACGUG
rnacentral:rRNA from 1 species